AGGCUUUUCAUGGCUACAAGCCAGCUGUGAGCCCGAAACUAAAGUGAUAUCAAGAACCUCCUUCCUGGUAGAAGUUACGAAGGUGGGUUUGUUUCCAAAGUUACAAAUUCCUAACUCGUUUUCUAAAAUGGAAUCAAGUAGGACUCAAGCCCGCUAUCUAGGGUUCCUGGACCAGAACUAAGUCCUCCGCUUUCUCGCAGAGGCGCAGAAUGAGGGCAGCCGACGCUGCUGUGGAUUGGUCCAGAUUAAUCAGGAUCUGCACCUUUUCGGGAGAUUGAGAGGUCCAUGGAACUGACCUCCUCUGCCUCGGGGGGGUUUAUAAUAGUAGUGUAGCUAUCCUCUCCUUCAGUGCCGGUUUCGAGUACAUUUUUUCUCAGCGGUUGAAAGUCGUCCCGACGAACUCGGAUACCUAGAGCGUUUCGCUUUCAGAAUCCUAUUCGGAACAGAUGGAUAGUAAACCCUCUUGCAGAGUUCUCUACUACUCUAGCUUGGCUCUGAUGAAGUAGAAGCCGUAGCUUAAUUUUCCCCAAGGUCUGCGAGAGCUGGGAGGGAGGCAUCGCAUAUGACAAUUCUCACAAAGCGUUGCUUCUCCUUGACCUCGCCAACUUGGGAUAUCAGCGGUGGGUUGCACCUCUUUGGUUGGAUGAGUUCCAAAAUAUCCUUUUGAUCGGCAGGCUCUGCUGGCACCCAAGCUUACUAGGGAUCUCCUCUUUCAGCGAUAGCCUCUUUGUAGAGUUUUACCGCUCUAUCGUCAGCGCACGCCACAAGUUUUACGUGGUCUUUGUGCCACCCUGCGUCGCGCACUACGGGUCCAGAGCCAGGAUGUCUUUGCAGUAACCCUUUGUACACCUUACACAGACCCUGAUUUUCUUUUCCUUUCCCUUUUCCUUUUCCGUGUCGGCCCAUUCGGCCCCAUCGAUACGAUUCCCGAGGGAUUUUUGGAAGUUUUGGUGAGGCCGUGACCAAAAGCUGCAUUUUUACCCGUCCAGGGAUCUGAGACUGGAUUGUUUUUGUACAUAAUAACAACUGGUUUGUUAGUCACCUACUAAGCCGAAACCUUUCGUUGACCGGAAAAAAGAGGAAGAGGAUUUAAACGGUCGACUACGGCAAAGCCCCGUGCCGCAGCAAGUCACCAUUACUCCCGUAGGUGGACCGGUAUCCGGAAGGCUCCGUUAGAGUACAGUAGGACGCCCCUGACUGCAUACCAUCCAUUAGUUGGUCCAACAGGGCACUUUUGAAAGGAUGCGAUUCCUCAUCGCGCACUAACGGUCUUGGUACGAGAGACGUUAAUUGCAGCUCAGUUGGCAGCUGUAUUCCGCUUCAACGUAACCUGCACUUAGCUCGACCCCCACACUAUUCUUAAGUGACAAACUUUCAAUUUCACCCAGUCUUUUAGGCAAAAUUUUUUUUAUGCAAUUGUAUUUCGAUUGCAUAUUUUUUUGUUAAUUUUUAUAUUUUAUUUUACACAGAACGGCCAAACCUUCCAGAUUAGACUGCAGCCAUGUUUAAGUGAGCAUUUGUUUUAAUCAUAAUAGAAUUUGUUAAUGUUUAUUUAAGUUGCAUUGCGCAUUAACUUAAUCAAAAUAAGUGAAAAUAUUUAAACAAAUGGAAGUACUAUUUGCGUUCCGUAAAGGAAAAGUAAAGAGAAAUAACAUUUCAUAAGGAAAAAAUGUGAAGAAACUAACAAUUUUUAACAACAAAUAACUCAUAAACUAUAAUAUAUUUAAAUUCGCUUUACUCCAAAAGAACAUGCGGAAAUAGUUACAAUGUACAUUGAAUUCAGUUGUUGCAACACAGCAUGCGUAUCGAGCAGAGUAUCGCGGCUGAGCUGCGCCUAAAAGUGACACUAUUCAUCCCUUGGCUUCAAAUUUCGAGACUCACGGGAGACUAACACAACGGAGUUAACGUUAAAAUUCUAGGGAGGGGAUAUCGACGAUCCGCCAAGAUCGCCCGAGUUGACAGCACCAGACUUUCUUAUGGGGCUUUUUGAAAAGCAAAAUGUAUGCCAACAAACCGAAGACUUUGGUCUAGUUGAAGAACAACAUUCGAUCUGAAAUCGCUGUGAUAUCGUCCGAAAUGCUGGCAAAUGUCAUAUAAAAUCCCGAAAAAGAACGAAGUAUUCUUUGCGCAAUGAAGGAGGUCAUUUGAUCGUCGUUGUUUUUCGAAUUUAGCUGGGAAAAAUUAUGGCGCACCGUCCAAAAUAUUGGAAAAAAAGACAUCUGUCAAAUCAUUCCUACAAAGUUUCAUGUCGAAAUUCUUGCUAUACGAAAUAGGAAGCGCCUGUCCUAGAGGUAAGUUGAGACCGCCAUGGUGGGGCUCGGAUCUAGCAGAUAUAGGGAAAGAUACUGAAAGAUUCUUUAAUGCAGCUACUGACAUCCCCUCAAGAAAAAUAUUAGACACCCGAAUGAUUCUUUUUUCCUCAUUAGCCUGAACGUCGAUCAUCGGAUGAUUUCCCUUAAUGGCAUUUAACCUUGCAAUGCUGGGGGCAUAUAUUAGUUCCAGUGAAUGUCCAAAUUUCUAAAAAUCUAAAAUUAUGUAAAUUUAUUAUAUACUUUUUUACAGCACAUUUAGUUUAACUAUACAGAAAUAUCUUCACUGUCCAAAAUUAAUGAAAGGGUUAAGCAUGUCAGCAGAGGUCAAUAAUGACGUGAUAUCAUGUACGUGCGUAGAGCGAACUAAAGCGGAUGGAUAUGCGGGAUAUUUAA